GCAAAAGCUCUGAAAAUGGACAUCUUUGGGCAAGUUACUUAACUGCUAGAGCCUUCAUUUCUUUGGUUGUCAACAUGGGCAUAAGAAGACCUUGUUCACGGGGAUGUUAGGAGAAUAAAAUGAGAUAACAAAUAUGAGAACACGCUCUACCGUCCUGGCACAGCAAGGGACCAGAUCCUGGAGGCUGCGGUCUGGACCGGUCGCCAAGGAGGGGAUCCAGGAGAAAACGUGCUCAACGUGCAGCUUGAGCCUGCCGAUUACAACCCAACAGAUUACAUAGAUCCAUUGUGACCAAGUCCGUUGUGGGAGUCACAGCCCUCAGGCCGGACGUCUUCACAGCCCAGUAGUUGGAACACAGAAUGUCUUGGUCUCUAAGAGCUGGUAUAUCUGGGCUACACUGAAAGAGGAAUAAUGAGGUAAUAUUUACAUUGUACGUUGAAGAUGACCUGAAAAGCUGCAGGAGAAGACAGGACAUUUUCUCAGUGUGGAUGAGGAAGAGAGGACGGUGGAUGCUGACUGAGUCCUCAGUGCUUAGAUUGGACUCCAGUACAUGGCUGGACAUCAGUUACAACCUCAGAAUUUCCAUGUGAUUCUCCGUCUUCCAGUCUUGCUUCUUUCUUCCUUGGUUGUUUUGACUGUGACCCAAACAUGGACAUGAGCCAUGAUGUGUGGCCCCGGAAAUUUUUAAAUCGGGGAAAUAUCCCCUUGAUUACAGUGUUGAUGGUCCUGAAAGCGGCAGUUUGUUUCGUAUAUGCUUGCAUACACACAUGUGCACAAACCCACGCUGGCCUGUGGUUGGGCUGAGCCAUUCCAUUUCACCAACCAAAUUCAACAUAAGGACCAUGAUGUUCUGCUAUGAUGCUGAUUUCCUCCAGCCACAAGAAAAUUAAGCAAUUCAGCCUGUUUCCUCAUAUGUAAAGUGGGAUGUGAAGAACUCAUUGACACCUCGCAUUUGCUUUGACCUAAGAAGACUGAAAUGAUACAGUAAUUACUAGUUGGUGCUGUGGAAAUACCAAAUGUUGUGUAAAUACUAGAUUAUUAUUAAAGGCUACCAUUUCCCCCAACAUCUCCCCAUCUUAGUGCUGAGUAGAGUCUCUACCACCAGGUAUACACUACAGUGAGGCCUUGUCCAAGGCUGGGAGGUGUAGAAACGAUGACUUAUCCUGUCUUCUAAGGCCAAGUGCACACUGACCCUCUUCCACAUCCCAAUAUUGGUGGAAUUCUGCUCUUCCAUGUACCCUCCUCCAGCCUAAUUCUCCUCAGUUAUAAAAACAAAAACAUUGCUACCUGCCCUACUUACCUCUCGUGACCCUCAUGGGGGUCUCACUAGGUAAUGCUGUGGAAAGGAUUUGAAGACCAUAAAACAGAAGGCAUCUUAAAGUUUAAAAUAUUUUACAAAAUAAGGAGACCUGUAAAUGGAGCAGUGUCAAGGGGGACUUGACAGGUUGGAUGAAUGCCCACCUGUGUGGUUGGACAUGUCCUGCGUCAAGUCAUUCUCCCUUACGGCCCCUAAAUUUUCAUUAUCAGCAAUCUGUUCCUUUGGAGUAAAACACUUGCUUCCGGUCUUAGCUUUCAAAUACAGGUUCUUCUGUGAGUUCCUGAAGUUAACAUAAAUUAACUUAUCAGAUAUGUUCCUGCCAGAAAGGUGAGGAGACAACACACAGCAGCACUGGUUCUUGAGUGGGUCUGAGGAAAAGGAUGCUGGGGGCCUCAUGAAGAUGAUUCAUUUUACACCAAGUCAGCCCUCACACUUGUGCCGUUUGCUGACUGAUUCACUCGGAGCCCACCUAGCACCCUGUGGCUCCACUCACACAAAAGAGGGGGAGACUCUUCUCCCCACCCUUACACAAAACCUUUAAGUACACUCUUGUGCACUAACCCAGGGCCCC